rnacentral:rRNA from 1 species
CUACGGGUUGCAGCAGUGGGGAAUAUUGCACAAUGGGGGAAACCCUGAUGCAGCAACGCCGCGUGGAGGAUGACACAUUUCGGUGCGUAAACUCCUUUUAUAUAGGAAGAUAAUGACGGUACUAUAUGAAUAAGCACCGGCUAACUCCGUGCCAGCAGCCGCGGUAAUACGGAGGGUGCAAGCGUUACUCGGAAUCACUGGGCGUAAAGCGCGCGCAGGCGGCCUUUUAAGUUGGAUGUGAAAGCCUACGGCUUAACCGUAGAACUGCAUCCAAAACUAUCAGGCUAGAGUGUGGGAGAGGAAGAUGGAAUUAGUUGUGUAGGGGUAAAAUCCGUAGAGAUAACUAGGAAUACCAAAAGCGAAGGCAACCUUCUGGAACAUUACUGACGCUGAGGCGCGAAAGCGUGGGGAGCAAACAGGAUUAGAUACCCUUGAAGUC